rnacentral:lncRNA from 1 species
GUCCUUUAUGGAAGUGCUAGCUCGCGCAGUCGGCUUCUGAUGAUGGAUCUGAUCUGAUCUCUUUUUUUGAUCACCUCGAACCUUUUUAAUAUCGAAGAUGGAUCCAAGAAGGAUGCUGGAUGGUGGAGGAAACAUAGAUAAAGACUCUUUUCUCUUUAAUUUUCUCUCACCCAAAAAUCUUAGAAUGAUUCUAGGUCUCUCACUCGAGAGGAGAUCGAUCUCCUCCAUUGCACACCCCA